rnacentral:tRNA from 3 species
CGGGGCGUAGCGCAGCCUGGUUAGCGCGUCUGGUUUGGGACCAGAAGGUCGUGAGUUCGAAUCCCACCGCCCCGA